rnacentral:rRNA from 1 species
AGGGUUUGAUUAUGGCUCAGGAUGAACGCUGGCGGCGUGCUUAACACAUGCAAGUCGAACGAAACACCUUAUUUGAUUUUCUUCGGAACUGAAGAUUUGGUGAUUGAGUGGCGGACGGGUGAGUAACGCGUGGGUAACCUGCCCUGUACAGGGGGAUAACAGUCAGAAAUGACUGCUAAUACCGCAUAAGACCACAGCACCGCAUGGUGCAGGGGUAAAAACUCCGGUGGUACAGGAUGGACCCGCGUCUGAUUAGCUGGUUGGUGAGGUAACGGCUCACCAAGGCGACGAUCAGUAGCCGGCUUGAGAGAGUGAACGGCCACAUUGGGACUGAGACACGGCCCAA